rnacentral:rRNA from 1 species
UGCAGUCGAACGAUGAUCCGGUGCUUGCACCGGGGAUUAGUGGCGAACGGGUGAGUAACACGUGAGUAACCUGCCCUUGACUCUGGGAUAAGCCUGGGAAACUGGGUCUAAUACCGGAUAUGACUAUCUGGCGCAUGCCAUGGUGGUGGAAAGCUUUUGCGGUUUUGGAUGGACUCGCGGCCUAUCAGCUUGUUGGUGGGGUAAUGGCCUACCAAGGCGACGACGGGUAGCCGGCCUGAGAGGGUGACCGGCCACACUGGGACUGAGACACGGCCCAGACUCCUACGGGAGGCAGCAGUGGGGAAUAUUGCACAAUGGGCGAAAGCCUGAUGCAGCGACGCCGCGUGAGGGAUGACGGCCUUCGGGUUGUAAACCUCUUUCAGUAGGGAAGAAGCGAAAGUGACGGUACCUGCAGAAGAAGCGCCGGCUAACUACGUGCCAGCAGCCGCGGUAAUACGUAGGGCGCAAGCGUUAUCCGGAAUUAUUGGGCGUAAAGAGCUCGUAGGCGGUUUGUCGCGUCUGCUGUGAAAGACCGGGGCUCAACUCCGGUUCUGCAGUGGGUACGGGCAGACUAGAGUGAUGUAGGGGAGACUGGAAUUCCUGGUGUAGCGGUGAAAUGCGCAGAUAUCAGGAGGAACACCGAUGGCGAAGGCAGGUCUCUGGGCAUUAACUGACGCUGAGGAGCGAAAGCAUGGGGAGCGAACAGGAUUAGAUACCCUGGUAGUCCAUGCCGUAAACGUUGGGCACUAGGUGUGGGGGACAUUCCACGUUUUCCGCGCCGUAGCUAACGCAUUAAGUGCCCCGCCUGGGGAGUACGGCCGCAAGGCUAAAACUCAAAGGAAUUGACGGGGGCCCGCACAAGCGGCGGAGCAUGCGGAUUAAUUCGAUGCAACGCGAAGAACCUUACCAAGGCUUGACAUGAACCGGUAACGCCUGGAAACAGGUGCCCCGCUUGCGGUCGGUUUACAGGUGGUGCAUGGUUGUCGUCAGCUCGUGUCGUGAGAUGUUGGGUUAAGUCCCGCAACGAGCGCAACCCUCGUUCCAUGUUGCCAGCACGUAGUGGUGGGGACUCAUGGGAGACUGCCGGGGUCAACUCGGAGGAAGGUGGGGACGACGUCAAAUCAUCAUGCCCCUUAUGUCUUGGGCUUCACGCAUGCUACAAUGGCCGGUACAAAGGGUUGCGAUACUGUGAGGUGGAGCUAAUCCCAAAAAGCCGGUCUCAGUUCGGAUUGGGGUCUGCAACUCGACCCCAUGAAGUCGGAGUCGCUAGUAAUCGCAGAUCAGC